rnacentral:rRNA from 1 species
AAGUGGAGCAAUCCAUGAGUAAAGUGGCGACCGGGUGAGUAACACGUGACUAACCUACCUUCGAGUGGGGGAUAACCUCGGGAAACCGAGGCUAAUACCGCAUAACAUCGCAAGAUCAAAGCAGCAAUGCGCUGGAAGAGGGGGUCGCGGCUGAUUAGCUAGUUGGCGGGGUAACGGCCCACCAAGGCGAAGAUCGGUAGCCGGCCUGAGAGGGCGCACGGCCACACUGGAACUGAAACACGGUCCAGACUCCUACGGGAGGCAGCAGUGGGGAAUUUUGCGCAAUGGGGGAAACCCUGACGCAGCAACGCCGCGUGGAGGAUGAAGCCCCUUGGG